GGACUGCGAACCAAUGCGAAGAAAAUUCACGCGAGAAUUCAAUUCGUGUCCUUGCUCAGUGCAAAAUGGGUUACUGGGAUUUACCAGAGGGCACAGACUGCGUGGAAAAAACAUGGAUCACGACCAAAUUGGGAACUGCUUUGGGCCUGGUUGGUUCAGCCUAUCAUAUUGUGGCAUUCCAGCCUGACUCUGCAUUGGCAGCACUACAGAGGGCCACCAACGCAACAGUUACCAUGGAGAAGGAAUCACAAAACUGGUGGCAUUGAAGGAGCUAGCAGAAGUGGUAACUGCCACCAUGGGAGCGAUCUUUGGAAUGACAACUUGUCUCACUGCUCAGGCUCGUGAAGCGCCAGAUGACCCCCUGAAUUAUUUUGUUGGGGGCUGUGCCUCAGGGAUCUUUCUAGGGGCCAGAACCCACAGUGCUAUUACUGGUACAUCA